GAUGAACGCUGGCGGCGUGCCUAAUACAUGCAAGUCGAGCGAACAGACGAGGAGCUUGCUCCUUUGACGUUAGCGGCGGACGGGUGAGUAACACGUGGAUAACCUACCUAUAAGUCUGGGAUCACUUCGGGAAACCGGAGCUAAUACCGGAUAAUAUACUGAACCGUAUGGUUCAAUAGUGAAUGACGGUUUUGCUGUAUGUAAUAGCUGGUUCCGCGCUGCAUUAGCUAGUUGGUAAGGUAACGGCUUACCAAGGCGACGAUGCGUAGCCGACCUGAGAGGGUGAUCGGCCACACUGGAACUGAGACACGGUCCAGACUCCUACGGGAGGCAGCAGUAGGGAAUCUUCCGCAAUGGGCGAAAGCCUGACGGAGCAACGCCGCGUGAGUGAUGAAGGUCUUCGGAUCGUAAAACUCUGUUAUUAGGGAAGAACAAAUGUGUAAGUAACUAUGCACGUCUUGACGGUACCUAAUCAGAAAGCCCCGGCUAACUACGUG
rnacentral:rRNA from 1 species